AUACUUUUCUCGGCCUUUUGGCUAAGAUCAAGUGCUGUAUCUGUUCUUAUUAGUUUAGUAUCUGAUACGUGGGUCAUCGGCCCACACGAUAUUAAAUUAAUUUUUUAAGGGGGAAGGCCCAUAACGGUUGCUUGCUACUGGGGCCUUCGCGCGUCGCCCAAAUGUCACACUACAGUUUGGGCCUGGCACAGCCCUC